GAGGGUAUAGCUUAGUGGUAAAGCACGUGCUUAGCAUGCAUGAGGUCAUGGGUUUGAAUCCCAGUACCUCUU
rnacentral:tRNA from 1 species